UGUUCGCUUGCCCUCGCGUGUCGGUUCCAGCGACAUGUUUCCGGGGGGAGAGGUUUCAAUGUAACACCACAACAUUGAGCUAUCAGACAGCACAGUCCCUCUCCUGUCUGUUUCUAUCCCUCCAUCCUUCUCUCCUACCUUUCCCUGGUAGCAGCAUGGUUCUGUCUGCAGCCAGGCAGCACCUCCUCGGGGGCAUUCGGCUUGGUGCCUGUGGGCAGCACCUCCUCAGGGGCAGUCGGCCUGGUGCCUGGGGGCAGCACCUCCUCAGGGGCAGUCGGCCUGGUGCCUGGGGGCAGCACCUCCUCAGGGGGAUUGGAUCAGUUUACACCGCUGCCAAGGGGUUCCAGGAGAUCAGAGAGAAACUCCAAGCUUUCCCUGGGGGAUCUAUAGACCUUGUCAAACAGGAGUCGGGCAUCGCGGUACUGACCGUCAACAACCCUGCUCGCAUGAACGCUUUCUCUGGUUCUAUGAUGGUGGAGCUGGAGGAGAGGGUGUCCCAGCUAGAGGAGUGGACGGAGGGCAAAGGUCUCAUCAUCCAGGGGGCUGCUGGAACAUUCUGCUCUGGGUCAGAUCUCAACGCAGUCAGGGCUAUAUCCAACCCUCAGGUCAGUCCUCAAUGUUGUCAGAGAUAUAUCCAACCCUCAGGUCAGUCCUCAAUGUUGUCAAGAUAUAUCCAACCCUCAGGUCAGUCCUCAAUGUUGUCAGAGAUAUAUCCAACCCUCAGGUCAGUCCUCAAUGCUGUCAGAGAUAUAUCCAACCCUCAGGUCAGUCCUCAAUGUUGUCAGAGAUAUAUCCAACCCUCAGGUCAGUCCUCAAUGUUGUCAGAGAUAUAUCCAACCCUCAGGUCAGUCCUCAAUGCUGUCAGAGAUAUAUCCAACCCUCAGGUCAGUCCUCAAUGUUGUCAGAGAUAUAUCCAAUCCUCAGGUCAGUCAAUGUUGUCAGAGAUAUAUCCAACCCUCAGGUCAGCCCUCAAUAUUGUCAGACAUUUUUCAAAGCCUCAGGUCAGUCCUCAAUGUUGUCAAGAUAUAUCCAACCCUCAGGUCAGUCCUCAAUGUUGUCAGAGAUAUAUCCAAUCCUCAGGUCAGUCAAUGUUGUCAGAGAUAUAUCCAACCCUCAGGUCAGCCCUCAAUAUUGUCAGACAUUUUUCAAAGCCUCAGGUCAGUCCUCAAUGUUGUCAAGAUAUAUCCAACCCUCAGGUCAGUCCUCAAUGUUGUCAGAGAUAUAUCCAACCCUCGGGUCAGUCCUCAAUGCUGUCAGAGAUAUAUCCAACCCUCUGGUCAUUCAUCAAUGUUGUCAGAGAUAUAUCCAACCCUCAGGUCAGUCUCUCUGAGGUUCUCUCUCUGAAAGACCAGUAGAAAGCUCAGUGAACCAUUUUUAUUCAGUCACAUUGUAUUGGGGCACUCCUACUUCCAUCCAAUCUGACUUCCUAAACCAUGUGUCAAACUCAUUCCACGGAGGGCAGAGUGUCUGAAUGUGCUUCUUUCCUUCCUUGGUUGAUGAAUUAAGGUCACUAAUUAGUCAGGAAGUCCUCUCACCUGGUUGUCUAGGUCUUAAUCGAAAGGAAACCCCCCCCCCAAAACCAGCAGACACUACCAGGCCCUCCAUGGAAUGAGUUGGACCUCCUGGUCUAAAACGAUGCGUCUUGUCUUUCAGGAUGGGAUGAAGAUGUGUACGUUCAUGCAGAAUGCCUUGACCAGACUACUGAGGUUACCUCUGUUGUCUGUAGCUCUGGUGGAAGGGAACGCACUGGGGGGAGGAGCUGAACUCACUACUGCCAGUGACUUUAGGUUGAUUUCGCCGGGCAGUGUGAUCCAGUUUGUCCAUAAACACAUGGGUCUGGUCCCUGGUUGGGGCGGUGCAGCUAGAUUGGUACGCAUCGUAGGCGGCCAGAACGCCCUGAAGAUGCUGGGUGGCGCUUUGAAAAUAGACCCAGAGAUGGGGCUUCAGAUUGGGCUUGCGGACGGGGUCCUGGAAGGUUCCCUGGCUGGGUCUGGAACCAAUGCCCUCCUGGAGGCAGAGCAGUAGUUGGGAUGCUACACCGCAGGUCCAGCCCCGGUCAUCAGAGCCAUAAAGAGCGUGGUGGUGUCUGGGAGAGAGCUCCCCCUGGAGGUGGCCCUGAGGACUGAGAGGGACGUGUUCGGGACAGUGUGGGGAGGACCGGCUAACCUACAGGCUCUGGCCACUAAGGCCAAACACAAGUGAAUGAACUAGUCUUGCGAUUACAUUGUAGUCUCGUCCUAAUGUUCUGGAGAAACCUAGAACGUCUGGAGUGGAAGUCGUGAACCAACCCACACCGAGACUGAACUGGAACACUAGGAUGGGCUGUAGAGGGUCUGAACUCAACCAGAACACACUGAACUAGUGUAUUCAUUCUGACGAUUCUGUUGCAAAAAAAAAAAAAAAGGGUCUCUUAAAAA